CUGUGAGGAAGAAGUUAGCACUAGUGGUGGGGCGUCGCACAAAUUUGCACAAUUUUGAUGUUUAUUGUUUCCUCUUUUGUAUGGAGAUUGGCACGGUGGCGUGUAGGAGUGUUGGUACGGGCAGCAACUGUUUGAUGUAUUGCAUGAAUGAAACCAAAGGUGUUACUAUAAGUAGGAGGGGCUGGCUCUGUUGGGAAUUCACUCACUGGAAAAAAUCGAGGAAACCCUAAUUGACCUCUGCAGCAGCUGGUUUUCAGGUCUGAUCUUGAUCGGAAAAAAUUAUGUGUGUUUUGGGGCGAAAGAGGGGGGGAAGAGAAUGGACUAUUUGACAGAAGAGAGCGGGCACACGCAGGCAAUUGUAUAGAGAGUUAUACCUUUGUCGAUGCGUGUGCUCACUUCUAUUCUGUCAGCUUCUCUCUCCACCGCCUCUCUCUCCCCCUUCUUCCACCCUUCACACACACAUCAUUUGCCCUAUCUUAUACACCUGCCCAAGACACAUCACCCUUUGCGAUCAAUGUACAUCAUCAAAAUGACGAACCCCAGUUUGUGCUCAUCUUCUUUUUCGGGAGUUGUGAUUAUAUGGUUUAAUUUCUUUUUUUCUGUUUCGGUAUAUUUAAUCUAUAGGGUCAUAUAGAUAAGUAUUGGUUUUUAUUGCGCUUUUCUCAGUAUUUAUCAUAGUUAAACAGUGAUUUCCUGAUUCAAAUCCACUUUUGAGUGCGAGGAUCGUUUGUUUCUAUCUUGUUCUUGCUGGAAUAAAGAUAUUAAUUCGGUUAUAUUUUAUGUGAUUAACCAUCUUGUUUGUGUUUCUUUGUUGGAUUUGGCUGUGAUAAGAGUGAGAAUCAUGGAGUUCGUUGUCCUUAAUUAUGUUUUCAGAUUUAGGCCUAUGUGUUAAUUGAUUCUCGUGAUUAGUUCCGGAUCCUCAGGUAUGUAGUUUCUUGAUAUCACUUUUUUAUAUAUGAUUUAUUGGAACUCGACUUGAGAUAUUUUGUUACUAUGGGUUAGCUCUGGGAUUGUGUCCAUUAGCUUGUGAGUUUCUGAGCAUAUAGUCGACCUUGUUUGCUGUUAAUCUUUGAUAGUGGCUAAGCUAUGUCAAAUACUUAAAAUCUAUGCCUUAAAAAACUUAAAUUGGAGAUCUUUACUUCUUACUAUUUGAAUUCUCGUUCUCUUCUUGAAUUGACAUCAGAAGAGAUUGAUGUAUUCAUUAAUAUAGUUCUGAAAACUUUAAGCAUGACAGUCAAAACCAUCCUGAUUGCCUCAAAAAUGAAUUUCUCAAUUUGGACAUAGACAUAGCAUUCGAUGACUGUGCCUUUGUUUGUACAACCAUCUAGAAAUGAGAUGAACUUAUGAGAUUAGUAAACUAAUAUAACAUGAAUGUUUUCCAAAAUACAAAUGAAACUCCAACUCUUAGGAACUUCAAUCAAUACUUUGUUGGCUCAACUCAAUUGUAGAAAUUUGAGUGCAAUGCCAACUUUAACCAUUAAAACUAUUCUAGUUAGUAUUUAAGUAUUCCCUCCGUCCCACGUUACUUGAGGCAUUUCUUUUCGUCACGAUAUUUAAAAAAGUUGUGUUUAGUGAGUUAAAUAAGUAAGAGAGGGAAGAGAGUGUGAAGUAAAGGAAUGAAUAAAGUAAGUGUGAUUAGAUUUUUGUUUUUAGCUAAAAAGAGAAAUGGCUCAAAUAACUUGAGAUAACCCAAAAUGGAAUACGACUCAAGUAACUUGGGACAGGGGGGUAGUAAGUAGUUCCACUUCGCUACGGUGCUUUCCAAAAAGAAAAGAUUGGGGGGGGGGGACUAGACGACUAUUAAGGAUACUGUCUAUGAUAUUGCUUUAGUGAUAGCAAAUUUCAAAACAUUGUCCUACUCAAAAGUUUGUAUUAUAUCAAUUGUUAUGUAUGUUCAUUAAAAUGGAGAAAUAGGUAUGCACCAUCCUAUUGAUUAGUGUAAUAUUAUUUCUGCAAUUCUUUGGUUUUACUCUUAUUAAUAUUAAUAUAUGUAAACAUGGUAACUACUUAUAAAGGGUUUCCUUACUGAAAAAUAAAAUUAGAUUCGUUGAAGAAAUAAGGAAGAAAUAGUACUGUUUAGGGAUUUUAUUCAUACAAAAUUUGCUCGAAUGUGAUGUUGAAAUUGUGUGCUAGCUCUAGUCUUGCCUUGAUAUUGCCACUAAAACAGGAUUUGUAUCUUUUUGGUUUUAUUUGUCUACCAAAGCAUGGUCAUAGAUAAUAGUCAGUCUCUCAAAACUUGCAGAUGACUAUUGAAUCUAAUUGAUGAAAAGUAUUCAAACUUGUUUUUGAUAUGGUGACUGCUCAUGAUAUUUACCAGUAAUAACAGCUAAUUUAGGUUUUGAAGGCUUGAUGAAAUCUUGAAAGCCCAUGUGUGAUGACGAUCUCUUAGUUUAUUAUCAACUUGUGCUCACUUCUAUUCUGUCAGCUUCUCUCUCCACCGCCUCUCUCUCCCCCUUCUUCCACCCUUCACACACACAUCAUUUGCCCUAUCUUAUACACCUGCCCAAGACACAUCACCCUUUGCGAUCAAUGUACAUCAUCAAAAUGACGAACCCCAGUUUGUGCUCAUCUUCUUUUUCGGGAGUUGUGAUUAUAUGGUUUAAUUUCUUUUUUUCUGUUUCGGUAUAUUUAAUCUAUAGGGUCAUAUAGAUAAGUAUUGGUUUUUAUUGCGCUUUUCUCAGUAUUUAUCAUAGUUAAACAGUGAUUUCCUGAUUCAAAUCCACUUUUGAGUGCGAGGAUCGUUUGUUUCUAUCUUGUUCUUGCUGGAAUAAAGAUAUUAAUUCGGUUAUAUUUUAUGUGAUUAACCAUCUUGUUUGUGUUUCUUUGUUGGAUUUGGCUGUGAUAAGAGUGAGAAUCAUGGAGUUCGUUGUCCUUAAUUAUGUUUUCAGAUUUAGGCCUAUGUGUUAAUUGAUUCUCGUGAUUAGUUCCGGAUCCUCAGGUAUGUAGUUUCUUGAUAUCACUUUUUUAUAUAUGAUUUAUUGGAACUCGACUUGAGAUAUUUUGUUACUAUGGGUUAGCUCUGGGAUUGUGUCCAUUAGCUUGUGAGUUUCUGAGCAUAUAGUCGACCUUGUUUGCUGUUAAUCUUUGAUAGUGGCUAAGCUAUGUCAAAUACUUAAAAUCUAUGCCUUAAAAAACUUAAAUUGGAGAUCUUUACUUCUUACUAUUUGAAUUCUCGUUCUCUUCUUGAAUUGACAUCAGAAGAGAUUGAUGUAUUCAUUAAUAUAGUUCUGAAAACUUUAAGCAUGACAGUCAAAACCAUCCUGAUUGCCUCAAAAAUGAAUUUCUCAAUUUGGACAUAGACAUAGCAUUCGAUGACUGUGCCUUUGUUUGUACAACCAUCUAGAAAUGAGAUGAACUUAUGAGAUUAGUAAACUAAUAUAACAUGAAUGUUUUCCAAAAUACAAAUGAAACUCCAACUCUUAGGAACUUCAAUCAAUACUUUGUUGGCUCAACUCAAUUGUAGAAAUUUGAGUGCAAUGCCAACUUUAACCAUUAAAACUAUUCUAGUUAGUAUUUAAGUAUUCCCUCCGUCCCACGUUACUUGAGGCAUUUCUUUUCGUCACGAGAUUUAAAAAAGUUGUGUUUAGUGAGUUAAAUAAGUAAGAGAGGGAAGAGAGUGUGAAGUAAAGGAAUGAAUAAAGUAAGUGUGAUUAGAUUUUUGUUUUUAGCUAAAAAGAGAAAUGGCUCAAAUAACUUGAGAUAACCCAAAAUGGAAUACGACUCAAGUAACUUGGGACAGGGGGGUAGUAAGUAGUUCCACUUCGCUACGGUGCUUUCCAAAAAGAAAAGAUUGGGGGGGGGGGACUAGACGACUAUUAAGGAUACUGUCUAUGAUAUUGCUUUAGUGAUAGCAAAUUUCAAAACAUUGUCCUACUCAAAAGUUUGUAUUAUAUCAAUUGUUAUGUAUGUUCAUUAAAAUGGAGAAAUAGGUAUGCACCAUCCUAUUGAUUAGUGUAAUAUUAUUUCUGCAAUUCUUUGGUUUUACUCUUAUUAAUAUUAAUAUAUGUAAACAUGGUAACUACUUAUAAAGGGUUUCCUUACUGAAAAAUAAAAUUAGAUUCGUUGAAGAAAUAAGGAAGAAAUAGUACUGUUUAGGGAUUUUAUUCAUACAAAAUUUGCUCGAAUGUGAUGUUGAAAUUGUGUGCUAGCUCUAGUCUUGCCUUGAUAUUGCCACUAAAACAGGAUUUGUAUCUUUUUGGUUUUAUUUGUCUACCAAAGCAUGGUCAUAGAUAAUAGUCAGUCUCUCAAAACUUGCAGAUGACUAUUGAAUCUAAUUGAUGAAAAGUAUUCAAACUUGUUUUUGAUAUGGUGACUGCUCAUGAUAUUUACCAGUAAUAACAGCUAAUUUAGGUUUUGAAGGCUUGAUGAAAUCUUGAAAGCCCAUGUGUGAUGACGAUCUCUUAGUUUAUUAUCAACUGAAUGAUACCAUAUGCCAUAUGUGUGAUGGUUGAGCAGUCCAAUGACUUCAUAUUAAGUUGAUUGUUCUGGUAAAAGCCCUUGCAAAUAUAUUUCAAAAUGGGGGUGAUAAUAUUCAAAUCCAUUAUAUCAUCAUGACUUCAGGCAAUAAAUUUGUAUAAUAUAGAUUCGAGUUUAACAAUUGACAAGAAUAUAGGCUCCACUAUCAGUUUAAAAUUUUUUAUUUAAUACUCUGUGUGCAACAUGUUAUAUGUGUUUAGUUCGCACUGAUUCGAUAGACCAUAUGUUGGUGAGCCUUGACUAUUAUCUAAUUUUCUGGCCUGGAACCUGCUAUUAUCAUUAUAAGUAACUUUGGUAUUGUUACAAGUUUCAGUUUUCCCCUAACAUCAUAUUAGCUUUUCUCCUUGAUUUGUAAGGGAUCUCAUCCACGAACUGCCUAAGGCCGAUGAAGAUCUCAUAUCAGGUUAUGGACUGGAAAAGAUGGAUGAGUGAGGUAUAUGUAUGUGUGUUUCUUAAUAUUCAAAUUCAAGUGCAUUCCUUUUUCAAUAUGAGAAGUAUCCAUGCACCGUAGACCUACUCUGUGGAUAUCCUGACACAUAACUGUAUCUGAUGUGAUGAGCAUGCUAGCUGCACCUGGUAGAUUCAUAAUUUACGAAUAUUAUUUGUUUCGGUAGAUUUACUGACGAGAACAAUUUAUUGCCCUGGCUAAAUGCUAACACAAUUGUUAACCAUGAAACAAGGAAUGUGUCGAAAUGCCCUUUCAAGCCCUCUAAUUACUUGAAGUCUUCCUAGAUGUUGAAUUAAGGUGAUCAUGAAAUAUUCUGUAUAAAAGAUGGAAAGAUCCUACAACAUUCAUUGCAUUGUGCACUUGAUUAGUGUAUAUGCGGUCAUGGACGUUGCAAUGAUUUCAAUAUGAGCUUUCCAUUUACCAUAAGAUGUUUUGUUAGAAACCAAUAUGAGCUUUCCAUUUCAUCCCAUUUUUUCGUCAUCCUUACUUAUUGAGUAUUACCCUCUAAUAUUAUUCUUAAAUGGCCAGUGUUUUAUGACUGUCUAUGUUAAAUUCUAGAGAUAAACUUUCUCAGUUGCUCAUCUUUUCAAGUAGGUAUCAAUUGAACUUAGUUCUAAACAAUGUGAAAUUAACCCAUGGUGUCCUAUGAAAUGGACUUCACUUUUCUUGGAGCGGAUCUUUUUGAGAUCUUUAUACUUUUAUGAAUCGAAAAGGAUCAGUUUAACCCAUGAUGUCCUUCGAAAUGGACUUAAGAAGUUCAUCAUAAGUUAGAUGUAUUUAGUUUUAUUGUCAGGAUAACAAUUUCUGGUGAAACUUUAUAUUGAGGUUCAUAAAGAACAAGUAAAAAACAGGAAAACAGGAGAGAAAAUUAAUGUCUAGUCCGGCUUUGGCAUCACAUAAUUAUUCUUGCAAUAGCAAGAACUUUGUUGCCUCGUAUAUACUCUCCAAUGUUAAUAAAACUUUUUUCUUAUGAAUUUAUAACAGAAACCUGAAACUAGUUCUUAAGAGAGAUAGUGAAAACCAGGUUUAGUUAAGAAAGAUAAACAAGUUUAUACAUGUAUUUGUCAUUUUGAGUGUUGAUGUAGAACAAAAGGUGGAGAAAGAGUUGAAUCUAGGUUUCUUAAGGGGGAUAGUUAAAACGGUACUGUAGAUGGGGCUACAAAUAUACAGGAAAAAGCAAUAUUAACUGAGAAUUAUGUGUACCAAUAAAGUUUGUUAACUAAAGAAGGUUAGCUGCCCUGACUUUAUAACUUAUCAGCAUCCUACUGCCCACAUUAUUACUACGAAAUUAAAAUUCUUAUGUUGCUUUUCGUUUGGUAAACUGGUCUCAGUUAGACAUAGAUGCUAUCCCUCUGUAACUUUGGCACGUGGCUUAGAGUAUCCACAAAGGUGGAUGUUUAUCAUGUCCACGCGGGACGAGAUGGGGAAGGAACCCACUCGGGUGGGUUGGCAAGACUGGCGUUACUCUUUCAAGCAAAAAGUUAAGUGACAGCGCCCAUUGAUUUCUGAUAUCUUUAUUAGAUUUUCGACAUUUAAAAUCACAAAUUUAAUGGUUGGCCUAGUGGUGGGAGUGGCUUUAUGGUGUUGAAGUCGCCACCCUCAUUUCUUAAUUCUGCUUAAUUUUUUUGUUUUAUUUUGGUUUUCUUUUUAUUUUUUUGUUGUUUGCUUCACCUUUUUCUUAUUUUUUAUUUCAUUAAAUCAUUUUUCAUUUCCUUUUAAUUAAUUGGUAUCAGAAUUGAAGAUUGUUUUAUUUUCUUUGAUGCAAAUGUACUCCAUAUAGAUUAAGUUUUUUGUUGUUUUCUUCACCUUUUUCUUAUUUUUUAUUUCAUUAAAUCAUUUUUCAUUUCCUUUUAAUUAAUUGGGAUCAGAAUUGAAGUUUGUUUUAUUUUCUUUGAUGCAAAUGUACUCCAUAUAGAUUAAGUUUAAGUAGUAAUUUUUUGGCUUUAUUAGGAUUUUAAUUAUGUAAUUUUCAGCUUAAUUAGAAUUUUAGUUAUGUAAUUUUUAUUUUUUUAAUGAAUAUCAUAUUUUAUUUAAAUUGAAAAAUUAAUUUAAUUAGAUAACAUAAUAAAUUGAAAUAAGUAAUGGAUAUAAAAUAAAAAAGAUGGUACCCAGGCCAUGAGUAGUUAAAGAAAUUGAUGAUGAUGAUGAUGGGUUGUGGGUGUUGUUUCUUAAAUAUGAAAUGGGGUAAAAAAAGUGUUGUGGGAAGGAACAAUAUUAGUGACAACAUUUUGCAUGACCUUACAAGUAGAAUUUAUUUAGGGUACAAUAAGACUCCUUUUAAAUCAAAAAUUGCACAUUUCAAUUCCACAUGUCUUUGAAUGAAUUUUGAUAGACCCUCUAACUCUCUAACAUUGUACCCUAUGCUAUUCUUUCCUUAUGUAGGUGCACUUCUAGUCUCAUGCAAUGAUUGUAUAACUAAUCUAGGGAAAAAAGUUGAAACUUGUCUCAGAAUAGGCUUGAGACCUUGUUCACACGUGAGUAUUCCCUGUGGAUGAUUGUGAUUGACAUUUUAUGUGAACUAAUAUAUAAUUUCAUUUGAAUAGAUGUUAUUUUUCAGGUUAUAAACUUCACUGGGACUUGAUUUAUACAUUGGAAAGAAGUAGAGUAUUGAGAAAUAUAAUUUCUAUUACUCAAACGUCAAAACUAUACUCCGUAAGAAAUCAUCCAUGAUUGGGAACAAUGAUGAUCACAAUGUACUGAAUUAAAAGGUAUCUGCAAAUUCAUUAGCACCUUAAAUUAUUCUAUAAGAUGUUUAAGUUGUUAUAACCUUAAAAGUUCCAUGCUUUAGAAAAUAAGUUUUGAACUCUCAAAAACAGAUGCAAGGAGCUUAUUAAUUAUCUUCUUAAGAUAAAAAUACAUACUCAAUAAGAUAUUACACUUUAUUUUUGGGAAGUUGAUGCAGUCUUAGUUCAUUUGAACAUUGUGACUUAUUUGUAUAAUCUACUGGUAUAAGUUUUAAAGAAAACUCGAUUAAAAAAUUAUGUGACAACAAAACACCUGGUUGCUUUUGUUACAAAAGCCCAAGUUACAAAUGUGAAGGAGGGAAUGUCAGCUAGUUAUUCGGGGAAAGUUGCCAGUUAUUCGGGGAAAGUUGCUUGUCUGGAACUUGCUAGUGCUACGUAGCUGAUAUAACACCUAGCAAAUGGAGACUGACUUAGUGGCUAUUGAAAGUUCAAAUUAUUUAUCCUUUAUGCAAGUUAUGCUCUAGUUUAUUAGAUUGGAUGUCUUUAUUUAUUUUUAUAUUUUACUUGUGGAUUCACCUUACAUAUGGGUUACAGGAGACAUAAUAAGAAUGGAAUUCUAAGCCUAAUGGCAUGUAUUGAAUUGCUUGCCUACCUUAUGCUUUCCCCCUUCAUGGUUUGUAUUGAAAGGUAAUAGAGGAUGUCCGUUUUCGGUCUGUUGUAGAAACUCAGUUAACCAUGAUUCUAAUCAAUAUAACCCUGCCCAUCUUGUGAAUAAUAUGCAUGGUUUUGAAUUUGAGACUUUGAGGUAGGGUUUUCUAAUCAAGGGUGGCAAUCCCUUGUUCCAAGAACGUUAUUUGGCGAUGAAAUGUUUCAAUUGUAAACAAAUAAUUUGAGGACAUUUUUGUAUCUUGGUUUAUAUUCAUAUACACCUGGCAUUACAUGAUGAAAUCUUCUUUAAACUUCAUUUUUCUCUUGGGCGAUAGUUGUGUAAAGAUCAUAUAGUCGAUGUUGUUUUAUUAAGUAUAGGAAAGCUCUACCCGUUCUUACUAAUGUUGUUUUAUUACAGUAUAGGAAAGCUCUACCCGUUCUAACUAAUAUGCUUAUUUGGUUUGGUUUUUGUCCAUAUAAAUUCCAAAAUCAUUCACGAGUUGUCUUGUUUCAAAGUGCAUGGCUUUUGUUUUGAAUAUUUGAACAAGGGUUCUUUGUUUUGAUAUGUGCAUAAUAUACAAGAAAUCAGAACCAUAUCUAGAAUUACAUUCACAUGUCGAAGCUUACAUCUGUGAUACAAGGCAAGUUUAUGUUCACAGGAAUAAUUCCUCAACUGUCAUAAGCAUGUUCCUAGUUAUUUCAGUUUGUUUGGCUGGACAUGGCCGCCAACAACGGCAUAAUGUAGUGAAUUUCUUUCAUACCUUGCCUUUAGCUACAUAGCUCUCUACUCUCCAUUACUAUGAACUUCAUGCAUGUAUCAAGUUGAGUCACGACUAUACUUGUAGCAAACUUGAAAUGUUAUGAAUCUAUUGGGGAUGCAAUUGUUGCAAUCUUUGUUCAUUAGAAGUUUUGUUUUGAGUAGUUGUAAUCCUAUGUAUCUAUUUGUAGUACAGUACUUAAGUUUCUUUUAACAAGAUAUAUUAAUGUUGUCCAAAGAUUCAUUCUCAUA